rnacentral:rRNA from 1 species
GACGAACGCUGGCGGCGUGCCUAAUACAUGCAAGUAGAACGCUGAAGGAGGAGCUUGCUUCUCUGGAUGAGUUGCGAACGGGUGAGUAACGCGUAUGUAACCUGCCUGGUAGCGGGUGAUAUCUAUUGGAAACGCUAGCUAAUACCGCAUAAUAUUUACUAUUGCAUGAUAUUCAGUUGAAAGGUGCAACUGCACCACUACCAGAUGGUCCUGCGUUGUAUUAGCGAGUUGGUGGGGUAACGGCUCACCAAGGCGACGAUACAUAGCCAACAUGAGAGGGUGAUCGGGCAAAAUGGGAAAGAGAAAAGGGCCAGAAACAUAAGGGAGGGAGAAGUAGGGAAACUUCGGCAAUGGACGGAAGACUGAACGAGCAAAGCCGCGUGAGGGAAGAAGGUUUUCGGAUCGUAAAGAUCUGUUGAAAGAGAAGAAAGAGAGUGAGAGUGGAAAGCUCAAAAUGUGACGGUAACUUAACAGAAAGGGACGGCUAACUACGUG